rnacentral:rRNA from 1 species
CAGUCGCCGCGGGAACACCAGCAGCCCAAGUGGUGGUCGCGCUUAUUGGGCCUAAAGCGCUCGUAGCCUGGCCGGUAAGUUCCCCGUGAAAUCGGGUCGCCCAACGAUUCGGCUUGCGGGGAAUACUGUCGGUCUUGGGGCCGGGAGACGCCGAGGGUACUCCGGGGGUAGCGGUGAAAUGCUGUAAUCCUCGGGGGACUACCAGUGGCGAAGGCGCUCGGCGAUAACGGGCCUGACGGUGAGGGGCGAAAGCUGGGGGCGCGAACGGGAUUAGAUACCCCUGUAGUCCCUGUCUCUUAUA